UACGUAGGCAGCGAGCGUUGUUCGGAAUUACUGGGCGUCAAGCGUGCGUAGGCGGUGCCUCAAGUUUGGUGUGAAAUCUCCCGGCUCAACCGGGAGGGUGCGCCGAAAACUGAGGUGCUCGAGUGUGGGAGAGGUAAGCGGAAUUCCUGGUGUAGCGGUGAAAUGCGUAGAUAUCAGGAGGAACACCGGCGGUGUAGACGGCUUACUGGACCAUAACUGACGCUGAGGCACGAAAGUGUGGGGAGCAAACAGG
rnacentral:rRNA from 1 species